rnacentral:lncRNA from 1 species
CCUGCAUGGCCGAAAACACUCCAGUACCAAAGCUUUCAAAUCCUCCCACUGUCGCAGAGGCUGUCGGCUAUCCUCCCAUUGGAACCAAGCCAAAGCUUCUCCUUCAAAACAUACCGCCGUUGCCUCUAUCUUCUCCCCGUUUGCCAGUUGAUUCAUGCUGAAAUAUCUCUCUGCUCUGAAAAUCCAUCCAUCCGGAUUUUCUCCGUCGAAAAUGGGCAUUUCUAGCUUUCGAUUUUGGACAUCUGCUCUUGCCCUUUCCUCCCACUGUUUCCUUCCCUUAUUACUGUGGCCUGUUUCACUGGGCAUAACAGGAGCUUCGUGGUUUGGGGAAGGUUCAGAGGUCGCCUUGAGGGAGACUUUUUCCUUCCUUUCCCGUUCAAGUUCGGCCCACUGUCCCAUCAUCGCGUCAAAUUUUUCCAUUAGAGCCCCAAUUUUCCCCUCAAAGGAAUCCACUCGAUCUGAUAAUGUCAUCCUCCCAAAUAUCGGAUGCUCCGAUACCAAAAUUGAUAGGAACUUGAACUGUUUAAGCUGAUUGGUUUAGAACCGAAAAGAAAUCUGAAAUGGAAAUUAAUGAUUUUAUUGAGAUGAACAUAAGGAAAUACUCCAAACAACUCAGAGCUUUCGAGAGGCUCAGUUCUCUCCUACUAGACUCUUACUAUUUUCCUGCCCUUACCCCCCUUUCCCAUUACAUUUAUUAACAUUUUCUCAGCUAACUCUCUACCCCUCACCCCGUAACGGCCUAACAAAAUAAUAAACUGCAUGCAUGCUGAAUUGAUUCUGUCAUUUUGCUGACUUAGCUGUCACCUUACUCUUUCUUGCGUAUGUAAAUAUCACCGGGGGCCUAUCAGAAUUAUCACUUCUCCCUUGAUCCUAUAUCUCACUUGAUCAGUGAUCUACUGACAAUAUGAAUUCUGUGAUGCAGAAAAAAAGUUAGAUGUUGUGUAAUCUGGCCUUGCAUCUAUUAUCAUGAAAAUCUUAUCUAACUGAAAUCAUCAACCCUUCAAAAUCUUCGGGGGAAAGCAUUUCCUUUAUUGCUUCCUUUUUAUUUCAUUCUGUCUCAACUUCAUAUGAACUAACCUCAUACUAGGUUGAUUGACCCAUGGAUAGAUCAUAGAUUUCCUCUGUUCAUAUAAUUGGUAAGUCUAGAUCAUGUUGGUUAUUAGCUGCUAGAUUUUGUUAAAGAGACUCCUAAGGUGACGCAGUCUUCGCUAUUUGUUUUUGAUGUUGGAACAGUCUUCAUCCGUGUUUACCAUAAUAAGAGAACAAGUAAAAUAUAAUAAAUGUCAUUAAAGGACAUUAGCUAUCCUAGCAGUGAAAAAGAAAGAGAUUGGAUGCGAUAAAGAUUCUGGGCAUGCCACUUCUUUGGAGAAUGAGGUUUAUCUUAGACCGUUCGAGACUUGUUCCUUUAGGGUUGACUACUCAUUACAUAUCCAGGAUUUUCAUGUUUGGAAGAAGUGGGUUGAUGGUGGUAAGCUAACAAGAGGUACUGACCAGAAUUCAUGAAUAUUUAAUGAUGAUAAAAUUUGGACAACUAUUGAGUUCCAUUAGUUGUCAGGUACAUGGCUUGAGUUGGACGUUUGAUUCGGGCAAAUUAUUUUUCAUCUUUCACAAUAAUUAAGCUGUUUCAAGCCAAACUCAAUGGGGUUUACCACUUUUUAUUCUUUCCCUUGAAGAGGGUAAUGAUGCUUGGUUCUUCAUCUAAUAUAUAAAUAGGAACUAUCUUCACAAAAGCUGAAGCAAAAUUAGACAAUUCAUUCUAUAUUUUUACAAUUCUAGGCUAGUAAUGGAAUUUUACUAUCUUGUGAGCAUAAUAUCGAGAAUGGGGGUGGCAGUUUGGUGCAUUUGUUCCUUCAUGUUACUUGUACUAAAAGUAGCGAUUCUCCUAAUCAUUUUUGAUAUCAUAAUUUAAUGACUGAGUUGUGUACAUAAGCUAUGAUACACAAUUUCACACAGAAUUAUAAGAAGAAGCUCAUUUUCUUUUGUCUGUUUUCAUAGACGUCCAAGUAUGGAUUAGAGAUAUAUUGAAAUGUUAAUUCUGAACCAAAUCUUUCUUGCAGUGGCGUACAAGUUGUCGAGAAAGAAAACUGAGGACGCUUUCAAAUUACUGCAUACAGUUCUCUUUGGAAGAAGAGGAAAGGUAUAUCAUUUUUCCUGCUUCCAUAUUACUCUCAACGAGGAUCAGGCAUUGUAUCACUUUAUUCAAUUCAAUGUUUAUUGCGGAUUAAACUCGCAUCAUCUUGGGAAAAUACCUUUGCUUUAUUUUUCUCCCUAAUAUAAUGGGUGUAUUUGAGUCCCGUUUCUAAAAGAAUGAAUUUUGUAAUAGUGAUUUUUUAGAAAAAUGUGUGGCUGAGGGGAAAAAUUUUGGUUUAUAUGUAAAAUUAUUUUAUUAUAAGAAUAUGCGGUUGAAAAUGAGUUUUAAAUAAUAUGGCUCAAACAUAGUCAAUGCAGAGGAAAUAAGUAAAAAUGACUUUUUGACUAACCCUUAUUUUCACAUUGGCUCUUGACCAAUUUUUUUUUUUUUUUAAAUAAAUUGAAAAAAAGUUUUAGAUAAAUAAAUGGACAAACGUCCAUAAUUUCCCUCAUCUUCAAAAAGCAAACAAGGGAGAGAGAGAGAGAGAGGAGGAAAAAAAACGAAAAAAGGAAAAAAAAUAUUCAAAAAUCACACAGUCGACUGUUAAGAUCGGAUCCCGUUGAGCUCCAAAUCACUACCACCAUAGAAAGUUUCUUAGAACAAGGUGAUUUUUCCAUAUCUAAGCUUUGGAUUUUUCAUUUGAAUUAUUUAUUUAUUUGUCGAUUAUAUGUUGUUAUUAUUGAUGUAAAAUCUUCAUUAUUGCUGAUGUAAUGAUUGUUGAGCUCAUUGAAAUAGCAAUUUCUUGCCAUUUCCAACAAGACAGCUGGUGGACACCGAUUGUAAACAGUCGGCUUAGCCGGCUCCUUUUUUUUUUUUUCAUUUUUUGUUUUUAAUUUCUUUUGUUUUUAUUAUAAUUUUUUGAAAUUGUUUUUAACGACUUUUUUU